rnacentral:tRNA from 1 species
AGGUAAGUAUUUGAUUUCGAUUUCGACUCGAUAAUAGGAUUUUAUCCAUUACUUA